rnacentral:rRNA from 1 species
ACCAGCGGAGGGAUCAUUGCUG